UAACAGUCCAUGGUAUAUCAGGCUCCUCUCAGUCUAUGGCAGGCAGUAAUAUAUUGCGCUUCUAUGGCCGCUGUGUUCACCUCUUCCCCCAGCAGUAUGGAGAGUCCCUCUUCCUCCUCCAUGGAGGUGAAGUCUGGGCAGAGAUCAGACAGUCUCCUGAGGUGAGUCUCCCUCACUGCUGAGUAUUUGGGCAGCAGAAAGUGACCC